rnacentral:rRNA from 1 species
UAGGUCGACCCGCUGAAUUUAAGCAUAUCACUAAGCGGAGGAAAAGAAACUAACCAGGAUUCCCCUAGUAACGGCGAGUGAAGAGGGAAUAGCCCAGCACCGAAGCCUGCGGUAGGUUUACUGCUAGGCAAUGUGGUGUUUGGGUCGACUCGCGGGAUUGCCACUCCACUCGAAGUCCAGCACUGAGUAUGGUUCCCUGGAUUUGGCCCAGAGAGGGUGAAAGGCCCGUGCGAGUGGAGGUUCAGACAUGUGAGGCAAUUCACCAGGUCGACCUUCGAGUCGGGUUGUUUGGGAAUGCAGCCCAAAGUGGGUGGUAAACUCCAUCCAAGGCUAAAUACAAGCACGAGUCCGAUAGCGAACAAGUACCGUGAGGGAAAGUUGAAAAGUACUUUGAAGAGAGAGUAAACAGUACGUGAAACCGCAUAGAGGUAAACGGGUGGCGUCAAGCUGCAAGCCUAGAGGAUUCAGUUGAUCGGUGUGUAUGCGCGCCUGGCGUGUCUGUCGGACGGACAGUCCACUGCGAAACGGUGGGCCUGCCUUUCUUCUUGGGGGCAGGAUCGGUGUACCGGGAGGUUGCCGGUGCCGGCUGUUUUGUCUGUCUGCGCAGUGUGGAUGGACCGGUCAAUGCACUUCCUCUAUU